GCCGACUGACCUACUGGACCUCUACUAGGAUCCCAUCCAACGCACCCUCCUCUCUCUCCCUUUCCUUCAUCCCCUCACUAGAUUGCGCCGUCGCUGCUGGCCUGCCGCUACCAGCACCGGCCGCCUCCACCGCCGAUUCGCACUGCGACAGCGCCACACGGACUACGUCCUACUCUCCUCCUCCGAUCAUCCACCACCGGCUCGCUGUUCUACCUCGCCGGCGGCGCUGCGGCUAACCCUAGCCGCCCCUGUCCGACGCGUGGCGGCGCAAGCGGCCUCCCGUGCUCCUUGGCUCGGCCUUCGUCGCCUUCUUCCACGCCUCCCGCGCGGAUUCGCCUCCUCUGGUUCAGAGAUUCCAGGCGGUGAUGACGAUGACGAUGGUCGACAUCCUACGUGGCUUGCGGGACAGGAAGGGAGGGGAGCCAGCAUACGUUGUUCAUGCUCAGACUCGGUGGCGUGUUUGAGCUCCUGCAUUGUUUCGCUGCGGUGACAAUUUUUCCUAGCUCAACACCUAUCAAUUUCGUGGCUUCUUAUGGUUCAGAAGAAUAUAUACUCCCUCCAUUCCUAAAUAUAAGUUUUUGUAGAGAUUUCACUAUGGACUACAUACGGAACAAAAUGAGUGAAUCUACACUCUAAAGACUUAUAUUUAGGAACGGAGGGAGUAUAUGUGAACAUGGACCAUUGCAAGAGUACCAUAUUCGUUUAUGGUCGAAGCAUUUUGAUUGUCGACUAUUACCCCCAAUAGGUUGCAGGUACACAAAUGAGAUUGCUCUGAUGCAUUCUGUCAACAUGGCAAUGCUACCGAAUGUAUUAGUAUUAAUCUGUUUGGACUUUCUUUGGUAUUGGAUCUAUGGUUUGUGUUGAUUAGGAAUAGCUUUCUUAUUGAUGGAUUCGUUGAUCAGACAAUCAAAGUAAUAUGCCAUCCUAUGAUAUGGAAUCCAAACGAUAGGGUUUUGUAAAGUUCUCUAAAUGAAGUAUAUGCGGUGUUGUAGAAAAUGAGAUGUGAAGUAACUAAGUAAGGCAGAUCUGAAGAAUGUAAUAACUUGUUGCUGCUACUCUGCAAGCUACUCGAGAAGGAGCUGAAGGGUGUAUGCUACCUCCAUGUGAUCUACGUGUUUGCCAAUGACACGGUGUGGUGGCAUCACAGAGAAGAAAUGUGGAAGGGGAAGGAUCAUCCAAUGAAGGGUGCAAAGUGAAGAUAGAGAACCAUGUCGCCAUUUCAGACUUCAAGCUCCGCGAUAUCGCGUCGCUGCUACAGGGGACAGACCUCAAGAGAUCACCGAGCCUACCCAAAAAGGACGCCUGUGUCACCAUCAACACCCUCUUCUACCCGUUCAUGAAGAACCAACAGCAAGGUCAUCAUUGCUAAACCCCUUCAAGGUCACCCGGAACCUCCUCAAAAUGGCUCCUUGCAAUAUGUGCUAGCAAGUACUAUGCCAUGAAAAAAUGUAGAUUGGCAAGGUAGAGUAACUGUACUUGAGGACUUUCUUCGUCAUGAUAUAAAAGCGGACAACUUCCUUGUGGUCUUAGGCCGUAAAGCCAGUCAGGUUUCUGCCAUUCAUGCACAUUUACGGGACAUUGUGUUAUUGCCUGAAGGCAAUACAUCAGGUAUGCCUGAAGGCAAUACAUGAGGUAGUACAGGGGCAUCAUCUAUUUCUCUCAUUGUGAUGCCAAGUUAUCUCGCACGUGAUCAAAUCUGAAAAGCUGACCUCAGGCCCGAAAAUGAAUUGUCGUUUCUCCGAGUAGUUGCAGAAAGGAUAAGCCUGCUCCUGAAUGUCGUGAUAUAGAACAGUCAAUUGUGCUUGAUGUGAAAACAGUUGUUGGGAUACAAUUUUAUUCUGGGUAUCCUCAGUUUAUUGUACACCUACAAAAGGGAUGUAUACCUGAGUGUAAUGCUUCUCAGUUGGGGGUUGUAGAAUGUCUAUUUGUUUGAUGCAAAAUUAAAAAAAUGUCUAUUUGUUAGACGAAAAUGAAGAAUUUCUUGCGGGUCAUCAACAAUUUUAGAAUGCAUUGAUAUUGUUUAGUUAAUAUAUUUCCAAUUUUUUGCAGUAUAUGUACGAUCUAUUUCUUUCAUUUUCUCAUAUUUCUAUUGUUUUUCUUCAACUUUUCUGUUUUUUGGAUGUAGUGAUGUGAGCCUUUGCGAUGGAGCUUUUUUAGGAGACAAAAGAGGCUAGGAUCAAUCACAAAACCAUCAAUCAUCCUAAUUCAAAACUAAAACACCUCAGACCCAAGGUCAAACAACUACAAGUUUAUUGGACCUAAGAAAAAAGCUCAACACACUCUUCUCUUGCAACCAAUAGAAUUUCUCUAUUCAGUUACAUACCAUCAUUGAUGGUGGAAAGCACAAACUAUACUAAAGCACAGUACUUCAAAACAAUUCAAACAAAUGUAUACAAAUUACUUUGGAUGCCUAGCAAUUAUAAGGACAAUAAUAGACGGGUGUAGCAACGCGCUCAGCAUGGCUCGCAAACCCUACGUGUGCUCAGGCAGCAGCGCUGGCAGUGAAAGAGAUGCGAGGGGGCGUAUUGUGGCCUCAUCUCCCUCUGCGUGACAAUACAAGCCCCAUCUUCCUUCGACAUGGCGCUGGCAGCCAUGCGUCCGGCGACUACGCCAUCUUCCUCACCGUCAGCCCCGACAACGUCACCACCCCGACGAGAGGAAGAGGAGAUGGGAGCUACCGCUUUGGAUCGUGGAUGGACUCGUCGCUACGGGUGGAACCUAUUAUGACUUAUGGUGCUUGAGAUACACUCAGCAGGAAAGCAUCUCAGGUAAGGUCCAUAUAGAUCAGUGAAUCUUAUGUAAAUACGUGCGUAGAAGGUAAAGAAGUCAACUACGCCUUGUGUCUCCAGUAGAAAAGGCAGUCAACUACGUACACCUUGUGUCUUCAGUAGCUCAGUGCUAAUAACACAGGUAUUACUGCUUUAGGAAGCUCCGUGUGUCAUAUCAAUAGCAAAUACUCGAGCAAGUGCUGCAGGUGAGCUCCUGUGCAAUGGCGCGUGCCCGCGACCUUUCAUGCGUUUGG